rnacentral:rRNA from 1 species
AUUGAACGCUGGCGGCAGGCCUAACACAUGCAAGUCGAACGAGUGGCGGACGGGUGAGUAAUGUCUGGGAAACUGCCCGAUGGAGGGGGAUAACUACUGGAAACGGUAGCUAAUACCGCAUACCAUCGGAUGUGCCCAGAUGGGAUUAGCUAGUAGGUGGGGUAACGGCUCACCUAGGCGACGAUCCCUAGCUGGUCUGAGAGGAUGACCAGCCAGACGGGAACGGAGACACGGUGCAGACUCCGACGGGAGGGAGCAGGGGGGAAUAUUGCACAAUGGGCGCAAGCGUGAUGCAGCCAUGCCGGGUGUAUGAAGAAGGCCUGCGGGUUGUAAAGGACGUGCAGCGGGGAGGCGUUACUCGCAGAAGAAGCACCGGCUAACUCCGUGCCAGCAGCCGCGGUAAUUC